rfam:Triticum urartu cultivar G1812 contig853142, whole genome shotgun sequence.
CUUGUACUCCCUCCGUUCGGAAUUAUUUGUCUCGGAUAUGGAUGUAUCUAGAAUCAAAAUACGUCUAGAUACAUCUAUUUCUGCGACAAGUAAUUCCGAACGGAGGGAGUAGAUU